CUUCAUUUGAAUGUAAAUAUUGAUACGUCAGUCAAAACUAUGAAGUUCAAGUCAUGAAGAAGCGCUGCAACAUCAUGCCUAUGUUGAGAUAUGUACCGUCCAGAUGCAACUGCCACGCGCUUUGCAACGAUGCUUAUUACACUGCGGAGAAACUAAACACUUUAGAAACUCACAGUCGACGGUGCGGCAGACUUGUUCCUCGGCGCCAGCGUGCUCUCGUUCACUUCAACUACGCCACUCUGCGUAUGUGCUAUCGUGCGAAGCGUA